rnacentral:rRNA from 1 species
GUGAGGAAUUUUGCGCAAUGGGGGCAACCCUGACGCAGCGACGCCGCGUGGAGGACGAAGUCUUUCGGGAUGUAAACUCCUGUCAGUGGGGACGAUAAUGACGGUACCCACAGAGGAAGCACCGGCUAACUCCGUACCAGCAGCCGCGGUAAGACGUAAGGUGCAAGCGUUGUUCGGAAUUACUGGGCGUAAAGCGUAUGUAGGCGGCAAGUUAAGUUCAAUGUUAAAGCCCACGGCUCAACCGAGGAGAUGCAUUGAAUACUGGCUAGCUAGAGGGUGUUAGAGGAAGACGGAAUUCCCAGUGUAGCGGUGAAAUGCGUAGAUAUUGGGAGGAACAUGGGUAGCGAAAGCGGUCUUCUGGGACAUACCUGACGCUGAGGUACGAAAGCGUGGGGAGCAAACGGGAUUAGAAACCCCGGUAGUCC